rnacentral:rRNA from 1 species
UCGACUAUCUCGCUGCGCCUCUCCCUACCUGGUUUCCGCUACGCCUAUGUCUCUUCUCCCUCUCUAGCUCGGUUCCGCUACACUCCGCGCCCUAAGUUAGCUGGCCUCAACCUCCGUGCGCGACCCUAGCUCGCCUCCGUGGGUGGUGGGUAGCGGCCCUGCAGCCGAAGAGGGAAGGGAGUCCGGGAGGGACGUGGGUAGGUGGGUAGGUGGGGGCCACCGAGGUCCUCCCCGUAGUGUUGGCGUCCGUGGCCGCCGCCGUACGGUAGGUGUGGCGCGAGCGCGUAGUGGCCGCCGGGGAAGUCCAGACUCGCGUUGAACGGCGGCAGCCGGUCCGGCCCGGAGAGGAAGGUGACCAGGGUUCUAGGCGGCUGUGGUUGGGGCAGCAGGUCGCGGCCCACGGGUUCUAGUCGUACGGAGGAGGGUUACGCUCAAAGUGAACCUUAAAACAAAAGACGACCGACAUCCUACUUACACUUAAAGCAAACGGCCUUUAUGUAGAUAAAACAAGCACAAAACUGUUCGCUAAAAAAGUAAGUCAUUUUACAGAAAAAAGUGUUCUCUACCUAUUUAUCCGGCUAUAUAUGUACGUUUGUCAUGUCAAGACCCUUUGAUGAUGAUGAUUACUUACAAAUUAUAGUAGACGUGUUCCAACGAAGUAUCUAGAAAAAAAAAGUCUUAGAAGUGUGUAGAAAAACCAGAUUACAUAUGAACGUCCAAAUAGAUCUACUUUUAUCAGAAAGUUAUAAUCCGACUACGAAGUUGAUUCGUACAGAGAAAAAGUUAGAUAUCGCUUAUAGUAGACUGUGAUGAAAGGAUGAUUGUCCAUAAAAGUAUACCGGCUUUCUUAGUCGGCGAUCUCUAAAUUCUUUGACAAGUUGACGCGUUAAAAACCAAUGCGGAAAAAGUUAAUCAAAACUUGAAAUUUAGGGACAACUUACAUACAUAUAAUUACAAAUCACGUGUUUUAAGCUCCCCAAAUUGAAAAAGGGAACGUGAAGGAUCGCUGGGUCUGGUCGCGGUACCGUUGCUCGCACAGGGAGGAUGGGGCUGGAAGUUGAACUCCCCGUCUAGGGUGGUGCUGAACCACCGCGGCGACCACCUUGGCCGCAGGGAUUCGCUCGUUAGCAGGUCUACCGGCAGUGUGAAGGAGGGUCGUCCAUGAUGAGGGAAGGAGAGUAUAAGAGUAGUCGAUUAAGUUGUGUUCUUGGGACGGAAGCAGGGUUUAGUUCUUACUAUAAGAAAACCUAGACUUAGUUCUAUCCAAUAUAACUAGGGGGGAGGUCACUUAUAAAGACAUUCUCUUAAAAUUAAUCCUUCUAAGUAAGAGCCACCUCUUCAUCUCCGUAACAAAGGUGCCCCACCAUCAUUCCACAACGUCUUCGAGGUUGGUAUAGCGGACUGACGAAAACCUUAGAAUUUAAGUGACUCAAGAACUCGUGGUACCGUUCCGUUUCCACGAGGUACACGGGACGUAGAAGUUUUCGUAGUAGACUACGUCAGAGGGUUUUUCAUCGUAAUACAUUUUUAGACCAAGUAGAUUCAUAUUAUACUUUUGUAUGUUCUAAGUAAUCUGCACUUUUUACGAUACUCGUCUCUAUUGUGUGAUUAGUUGUAAGACGUAAUCUAAUGAAUCAACUCUCGACCUUGGACUUCUUUUCACUUAAUUCGAUCUUUGUAUUUUUAAUCCGUGAGGGACAUUGAGGUUAGGGUUCAUCCGUCAGUCUUUAGAACCGUAAGCUGACAACCUCUACUACUCGAAGUCUUCACUCUACCAAGACAACUUCAUUGCCACGCAGACCCACCAGACCGGCAACUGGCAACGCAGGUAACACCCCAACCGAGCAGGACGUGGAGAAGGCCGGUAUCACUGACCCGCUGUUGACUUUUAGGAAGAGCUUAAACUCGAGGUAAAAAAAUUUCUAAGGGAUAAAAAACGUACGAAAACCUGACAUAUUUACGAGAACUAUACCAAAUAUCGACGACGAUGAUGAGAAUGGUAGCGGUUAGUUCAAUAGGUACAGUUUAGUUGGGGAUAGCUGAUCUUUAUCUCAUCACAGUUUCUCUUCCAAACUAACAUGAUAAAUAAACGAGUUUAAACUAACAGAUGAAAGAAACCUACCUUUUGAAGUUGGAUUUUUAUUUGACCACCAGAUAUGCUUUAUUGUGUAAUCAAAAGAUAACACUACGGAGUGAAAAAUAAACAGAGUCGUCUAAUCUCAUUAUUCAACUACCAGUAAGAGAUGAAACAUAAACAUGAAAAAUACUCUAACUAGGUUCUUUCUUACUGUACACACGGUAUACAUACCCAGUUAAGUAUUCACUUUUUUACCAAAACUAGAUCCUUUAGACUUUGGCAUCCUAACAUAUCGUUCUUCACAUCAGAGUCUAAUAAUGACAUCUAACAGAAUAAAACAUUGCAUAAAACAAAGUACUUAUAUAUAAGGUUUUAAAGAGUGCAUGACAAAGACGUCUCUCCUUCUUUCCUCGACUAACGUCCCGUGAUUUUAUAAAGAAGCCGGUUUCGAGGCACUAGCGAAUGUGUCAAUGUGUGCAUAUAAUAGGUACAUCAUACCCAAUAGACCCUAGUCAAUGUUGUACCGUGAACCUAUAACAAGUAUUUCCACCGUAUUAAACAGUUAAAUUAUAUGAAGGUAGAGUGACACAACUAAAUGAGUACGAUAAAACUACUGCUACUGUAGUUACGGUUAAGUAUAGAUACGUUCCGUAGUCACGAACUACUAUAUCACUACACAAUGAGAAACCCCGGAAUUAAACGUCGUCUUCUUCUACGUUAUUUGAGACUUUUGAUCUAAUAAAAACGAGUAUACUGUGUUUCCGUUACCCUUAACAAAACUCCCACAGCUAGUACGAACGGAAAGGGACUCAAGGUCGAUAAGUACGAUGACGUAUAUUAUAGGUAACAUCUAUAUGUCUACAACGGUAGUACUAUAAUCUGUAUUAGACCUGAUGAGGGAAACUUUCCCCAUG